rnacentral:rRNA from 1 species
GAUGAACGCUGGCGGCGUGCCUAAUACAUGCAAGUCGAGCGAACAGAUAAGGAGCUUGCUCCUUUGACGUUAGCGGCGGACGGGUGAGUAACACGUGGAUAACCUACCUAUAAGACUGGGAUAACUUCGGGAAACCGGAGCUAAUACCGGAUAACAUAUUGAACCGCAUGGUUCAAUAGUGAAAGGCGGCUUUGCUGUCACUUAUAGAUGGAUCCGCGCCGUAUUAGCUAGUUGGUAAGGUAACGGCUUACCAAGGCAACAAUACGUAGCCGACCUGAGAGGGUGAUCGGCCACACUGGAACUGAGACACGGUCCAGACUCCUACGGGAGGCAGCAGUAGGGAAUCUUCCGCAAUGGGCGAAAGCCUGACGGAGCAACGCCGCGUGAGUGAUGAAGGUCUUCGGAUCGUAAAACUCUGUUAUCAGGGAAGAACAAAUGUGUAAGUAACUGUGCACAUCUUGACGGUACCUGAUCAGAAAGCCACGGCUAACUACGUG